ACCGAAAUAGAAUUGGGAGAGCGUUAGACUAUAGAUCGAAAAGUCCCUGGUUCGAAUCCGGGUUCCGCCA
rnacentral:tRNA from 1 species